AUUGGAUGAGCCCGCGGCCUAUCAGCUUGUUGGCGGGGUAACGGCCCACCAAGGCGACGACGGGUAGCUGGUCUGAGAGGACGACCAGCCACACUGGGACUGAGACACGGCCCAGACUCCUACGGGAGGCAGCAGUGGGGAAUAUUGCGCCAAUGCGCGAAAGCGUGACGCAGCGACGCCGCGUGGGGGAUGAAGGCCCUCGGGUUGUAAACCCCUUUCGGCAGGGACGAAGCGAGAGUGACGGUACCUGCAGAAGAAGUCCCGGCUAACUACGUGCCAGCAGCCGCGGCCGAU
rnacentral:rRNA from 1 species